UUCCUCUUGGAAUAUGAGGUAAGGCCUGCUCACUGAAUAGUUAAAGAGCCGCAGUAUACUGACUGUGCNUAAGGUAGCAUAAUCAUUUGCCUUUUAAUUGAGGGCUGGUAUGAAUGGCUAAACGAGAGAUCGGCUUUUUUUAUUAUAAAUAUUUAAUUUAACUUUUUAGUGAAAAGGCUAAAGUUUAUUAGAAAGACGAGAAGACCCUAUAGAGUUUCAUAAGUAAAGAACUUACAUUUAAAUAGAUUUUUAUAAAUAUAAGUUUAGGAGCUUAUUUUGUUGGGGCGACAUUAAGAUAAAAAAAACUCUUUAUUUUUAAAACUUUUAUUAAAGAAAAAUAUAUUGAUCCUCUAGAAGAGACCAUAAGAAAAAAUUACCUUAGGGAUAACAGCGUAAUCUUUUUUGAGAGUUCUAAUCGACAAAAAGGUUUGCGACCUCGAUGUUGGACUAAAAUUUAGGCAGGGUGCAGCUGUUCUGCUUUAGGGUCUGUUCGACCCAUAAUAUUUUACAUGAUCUGAG
rnacentral:rRNA from 1 species